rnacentral:rRNA from 1 species
CCUANGGGGGGCUGCAGUGGGGAAUCUUGCACAAUGGGCGAAAGCCUGAUGCAGCGACGCCGCGUGGAGGAUGAAGGCCUUCGGGUUGUAAACUCCUUUUGUAGGGGAAGAUAAUGACGGUACCCUGCGAAUAAGCCACGGCUAACUCUGUGCCAGCAGCCGCGGUAAGACAGAGGUGGCAAGCGUUGUUCGGAAUUACUGGGCUUAAAGGGCGAGUAGGCGGUGGAGCAAGUCUGAGGUGGAAUCCUAUGGCUUAACCAUAGAACUGCCUUAGAAACUGUUUUACUUGAGUCAGUGAGGGGAGGGCGGAAUUCCUGGUGUAGCGGUGAAAUGCGUAGAUAUCAGGAGGAAGGCCUGUGGCGAAAGCGGCCCUCUGGCACUGUACUGACGCUGAGGCGCGAAAGCGUGGGGAGCAAACAGGAUUAGAUACCCCGNUANUC